UCCCAGUUCGGAUUGUAGUCUGCAACCCGACUACAUGAAGCCGGAAUCGCUAGUAAUCGCGGAUCAGAAUGCCGCGGUGAAUACGUUCCCGGGUCUUGUACACACCGCCCGUCACACCAUGGGAGUCGGAAAUGCCCGAAGCCGGUGACCCAACCCGAAAGGGAGGGAGCCGUCGAAGGCAGGUCGGAUGACUGGGGUGAAGUCGUAACAAGGUAGC
rnacentral:rRNA from 1 species